rnacentral:rRNA from 1 species
CCUACGGGGGGCUGCAGUGGGGAAUAUUGGACAAUGGGGGGAACCCUGAUCCAGCCAUGCCGCGUGUGUGAAGAAGGCCCUCGGGUUGUAAAGCACUUUCAGUGAGGAAGAACGCCUGGUGGUUAAUACCCAUCAGGAAAGACAUCACUCACAGAAGAAGCACCGGCUAACUCCGUGCCAGCAGCCGGGUAAUACGGAGGGUGCGAGCGUUAAUCGGAAUUACUGGGCGUAAAGCGCGCGUAGGUGGCUUGAUAAGCCGGUUGUGAAAGCCCCGGGCUCAACCUGGGAACGGCAUCCGGAACUGUCCAGCUAGAGUGCAGGAGAGGAAGGUAGAAUUCCCGGUGUAGCGGUGAAAUGCGUAGAGAUCGGGAGGAAUACCAGUGGCGAAGGCGGCCUUCUGGACUGACACUGACACUGAGGUGCGAAAGCGUGGGUAGCACACAGGAUAAGCUACCCUAGUAGUA